rnacentral:rRNA from 1 species
GAUUAUGGCUCAGGAUGAACGCUGGCGGCGUGCUUAACACAUGCAAGUCGAACGAAGCAACUUAUCACGAUCCCUUCGGGGUGACGAUUGUUGACUGAGUGGCGGACGGGUGAGUAACGCGUGGGUAACCUGCCUUGUACAGGGGGACAACAGUUGGAAACGACUGCUAAUACCGCAUAAGCGCACAGCUUCGCAUGAAGCAGUGUGAAAAGUAUUUUCGGUACAAGAUGGACCCGCGUCUGAUUAGCUAGUUGGUGAGGUAACGGCCCACCAAGGCGACGAUCAGUAGCCGACCUGAGAGGGUGACCGGCCACAUUGGGACUGAGACACGGCCCAAACUCCUACGGGAGGCAGCAGUGGGGAAUAUUGCACAAUGGGCGAAAGCCUGAUGCAGCGAACGCCGCGUGAGCGAAGAAGUAUUUCGGUAUGUAAAGCUCUAUCAGCAGGGAAGAUAAUGACGGUACCUGACUAAGAAGCACCGGCUAAAUACGUGCCAGCCGCAGC